UCAGGACGAACGCUGGCGGCGUGCUUAACACAUGCAAGUCGAGCGAUGAAGCUCUUCGGAAGUGGAUUAGCGGCGGACGGGUGAGUAACACGUGGGUAACCUGCCUCAUAGAGGGGAAUAGCCUUUCGAAAGGAAGAUUAAUACCGCAUAAGAUUGUAAUGUCGCAUGACAUAGCAAUUAAAGGAGUAAUCCGCUAUGAGAUGGACCCGCGUCGCAUUAGCUAGUUGGUGAGGUAACGGCUCACCAAGGCGACGAUGCGUAGCCGACCUGAGAGGGUGAUCGGCCACAUUGGGACUGAGACACGGCCCAGACUCCUAUGGGAGGCAGCAGUGGGGAAUAUUGCACAAUGGGGGAAACCCUGAUGCAAGCAACGCCGCGUGAGUGAUGACGGUCUUCGGAUUGUAAAGCUCUGUCUUUAGGGACGAUAAUGACGGUACCUAAGGAGGAAGCCACGGCUAACUACGUGCCAGCCGCUGC
rnacentral:rRNA from 1 species